CCUUCUUGGCUCAGUUGGCAGAGCGUCUGCCUAGUAUAUAGCAGAAGGUCGUCAGUUCGAUUCUGGCAGAAGGCA